AGUGAACGCUGGCGGUGGGCCUAACACAUGCAAGUCGAACGGCAGCAUAGUAAGAGCUUGCUCUUACGGGUGGCGAGUGGCGGACGGGUGAGGAAUACAUCGGAAUCUACUUUUUCGUGGGGGAUAACGUAGGGAAACUUACGCUAAUACCGCAUACGACCUACGGGUGAAAGCAGGGGAUCUUCGGACCUUGCGCGAUUGAAUGAGCCGAUGUCGGAUUAGCUAGUUGGCGGGGUAAAGGCCCACCAAGGCGACGAUCCGUAGCUGGUCUGAGAGGAUGAUCAGCCACACUGGAACUGAGACACGGUCCAGACUCCUACGGGAGGCAGCAGUGGGGAAUAUUGGACAAUGGGCGCAAGCCUGAUCCAGCCAUACCGCGUGGGUGAAGAAGGCCUUCGGGUUGUAAAGCCCUUUUGUUGGGAAAGAAAAGCAGCAGGUUAAUACCCCGCUGUUCUGACGGUACCCAAAGAAUAAGCACCGGCUAACUUCGUG
rnacentral:rRNA from 1 species